AACUAAAUUAUGCAAAAAUUGGAUGGGAUGUGCGAGUAACACUUAGGGUAUGUGGAGCUUUUCAUGGAAAAGAGUAUAUAAAGGCCCAAAAAAUGAGGUAAAUUCUAGCCAACACUUAAUUAAUUGAUUUUAUGUAAAUUGUAACUUCUAAAAUAAAUAAUUGUUAAUGAUGU